rnacentral:sRNA from 1 species
AGGAAGCCGUUGCCAGCCGGCGGCUGACGUAAUCAACGUCGGAUGGCUCGCCCCAAUGGA